rnacentral:tRNA from 1 species
UGGCGAUCGUAGCCAAGUGGUUAAGGCAGUGGAUUGUGGUUCCACCACUCGCGGGUUCAAUUCCCGUCGUUCGCCC